CAUCAAGAGUCCAUCUUCUAAAGCACUACAGGUUAGCUCAUGACAAUUUUGGUCGCAGACACCCAUAUCCAUGCACUUUUUCUCAUUGUCCAUGUGUGUUCAAAACUUGGAAUGCUCUUCACAGUCAUUUAAGCAGGUCACACACAAAUAAUACUGUUGAAAAGCAAGAUAAUUUAGCUACUUUUAACUGUCAUUUGUGUACAAGCACCUACAUAUCCUCUCAAGAGUAUUUUAGCCAUAUUAAUUAUCAUCUCAAGAACCAUGAAACAGUGACUUGUGUUUUUCAGGGCUGUUCUUUCCAAACAAAUAUUUCUGGUACAUUCAAAUCCCACAAAAGUAGAAAGCACACUCCAUAUUCACUUCAAGAUUUUAAAUUAGGUAUUGUAAACCACAGUGAAACAGAUGAUCCUACAGAUGAUAACACAUCUAAUAUUGGUGAGUGUAGUGUUGAUUCUGAUAGAGAUAUAGAAACUCAAGCAGAAGAACAUUUAUCAAAGAUUAUAGAACUGAAAUUAGGAUCUCUUCUACUCAAGCUUGAAAACUAUUUUCAUGUUCCUCGUACAGCAAUAGAUGAGCUGCUUGCUGAACUACAUUAUUUGAUAGGUUCUGCAUCUGUGCCCAUAUCUAAUGAAGCAAUUCAAGAAACAUUCAGAAAUAACAAUGUCUGUGUUGAGCCGAUUGUGAUUACGGAAUUGACCACUGCAUUAUCUUCGUGUAAUCCUCUGUUAAAAGGUAUAGCAAAGGAUGGGCCACUAGCUACUGGUCAUAAACGGAGAAAGUAUUACAAAGAAAAUUUUGACAUUGUUGAUCCAGUAGAGUAUAUACUGCAAUCAAAACCAAAACAUACCUUCCAGUACAUUCCAAUUCUGAAAACUUUAGAACAGUUACUCAAACAGAAAGAUAUACUCAAGAAAAUUGUUGAUAGUCAUUCCAAUCAGCGUUCAGUAAAUGGGAAGUAUAGAUGUUAUCAAGAUGGUUCCCACUUUAAAAAUAACAAAUUUCUUUCAAGUGAGGAAUUAAGACUGUCUUUGUGCCUUUACAUAGAUGACUUUGAAAUUUGUAAUCCCUUAGGGACAUCACGAAGAAAACACAAACUUUGUGGGGUUUACUGGAUUUUAGGGAACUUGCUACCAGUUUGUCAAUCAUCCCUGGACUCAAUUUAUCUUGCGUUGCUCUGUAAAAGUGAGGAUGUGAAAACAUUUGGUUAUAAAAAAAAUUUUGAGCCCAUUCUGAAUGAUCUUGUUACAUUGGAGCAAAAGGGAAUUUUCAUUGAUCAUCUGGGAACAUUUAUCAGAGGUACUGUUCAGUGUGUAGUUGCAGACAACCUUGGAGCCCAUGGAUUAGCUGGAUUCGUGGAGAGUUUCUCUGGAGAUUUUUUCUGUCGCUUUUGUACUGCAACACGCAGUGAAAUUCAGUCACAAGAGGUGAAAGUGGGUGGCUUCAAACUCAGAACUAAAGAGCUACAUCAAGCACAUGUAGCAAGUGCUUGUGAAGAAGGAAAACCUUAUUGUGGAGUCAAAACUAAAUGUGUUCUAGCUGAGAGCCUUUCAUUCUUUGAGGUUACAACAGGUUUCCCCCCAGAUCUGGCUCAUGACCUUUUUGAAGGUAUAGUACCCGUUGAACUUGCUGAAUGCUUUGGAUUGCUUUUAGCCAAGAAGUACUUCACUCUUGAUGGUUUGAAUGAACUGAUUCAAGCUUUCCCAUACAAAUGGGGAGAUAAAACAAAUCGGCCUCAUUUAUUGCCACGUGCUUUCCUCAGCAAAAGAAGUAUUGGUGGCAACUCACAUGAGAAUUGGUGUUUGCUAAGACUAAUACCACUGAUUGUUGGAAAACUAAUUCCAGAAGAUGAACCAGCUUGGCAGUUAAUAUUAGAUUUAAAAGAUAUUGUGGAUCUCGUAGUUUGCCCACUACAUACCGAUGAGUCGAUUGCAUUCUUGGAGACAAAGAUAUCAGAGCACAGAUCCAGGUACUGCACACUUUUCCCUCAAAAAAAACUGCUACCCAAGCACCACUACCUGGAACAUUAUCCUGCACUGAUCCUUCGCUUUGGUCCACUUGUUUCUUUUUGGACUCUGAGGUUUGAAUCCAAGCACAGUUAUUUUAAACAAGUUGUGAGGCACACUAACUGUUUUAAAAACAUUACAUUGUCUUUAGCCACUAAACAUCAGCUGAUGAUUGGCCAUAGUAUAAUUUCAUCAAGAUUUAAAAAAGACACUCUUGAGGUGACACAAGUCUCAACAGUCCCUCUUGAUGUCCUUAAAGAAGAGGUUGCAGUUAGCCUCCAUCAGAUGUACCCUGACCUUACUUUUGUUAAUCUAACAGAUAAUGUAUCUGCUGAUGGCAUCAGCUUCAGAAGUGGCAUGAUAAUAGUGCAUGGAUUUGUUGGUGGACUGCCAGACUUUGCCGAAAUUGUGCAUAUGUGUGUUUUGAAAGAUGGACUUGUCUUCAUAGUGAAGAAAAUAAACUCAUGGUACAGAGAACACUAUAGAUCAUUUGAGCUGGAUCCUUCUUCAAGCAGUGUCUCUGUGAUUGAGUUGAGUAAACUUGUGGAUCGUUACCCCCUCUGGGAUUACAAAGUGGGCAGUUUACGAAUGGUUACUCUGAAGAGAUACAUACAUUGUUCAGGUAAUAUGAGAACAGAAAUGUGUACUGUAAAUUUGUUUGCUUAACUCCAAUAUGACUUGAUGCAUGUUAAAAUGUUCUGUCUGUACUAUUCUGUGUUUUUCAGAGUAAAACUUGGGUAUGACUAUGGACUCAAUGUCUACACCAGUAAAGCUUCGUAUUCUCCUUGGAGAAGAUGACUGUGUCAAGCUAACAUUGCCUUCUGGAAUACCAGACUCUGUUGAUGGCCUUAAAUUUGAAAUUCAACAACAAUGUAGAAUUCAAGGAGAAUUCAGACUGCAGUACAUGGACAAUGAUUUUGGUGAAUUUAUGAACCUGACUUCAGCUGCAGAUAUCAAAGACAAGGGAACAGUGAAAGUGAUUUUAACAAGUAGGCAGUCAACACAAGGACCCAACUAUACUUCAUCUGCAUCUUUUGAUGAGGAGGAUGAUUCCACUCCAGACACUGAUAUACUUUCAUCCUCUGAGUCGACCACUUCAACUUCAACCACUUCUUCAACUUCAUCACUAAGAUGUCAAGGCUGGCCAUGCAGAUUUCCAAUUCCUCCAUUCUCCUAUGAAGUGGAAAUGCAGCUGUCUAGAGCAAACCAGGAAUUUCUUGCUGAAGGCAAGCACCUGAACCCAAGUUUCAAAGUCAGGUCAGACAUUUUGCAGGUCCUGGCUUCUGAAAUAAUGAAGUACACAAGUGGAUACCCAACUUCUGCACAAUUAGAUGAUGUUGCCAAAGCUUUGAUCAUAAAACAUCCUUGUUUGAAGGAACAGGGCUCUGUUCAGGGAUAUUAUGGUUGGAAAAUCAGUCUGAAAUACAAAAUGGGUAACUACCGCACUAAGCUCAGGAGUCUGGGUUGCCAAGAAAUGAGCAUUAACUCAAUGAAAAGCAGAAAGCCUUCUCACUCCUCAAGCCCUAACCAAGUAAAGAAACCCAGGAGAGCAGAAGUAAAUUUUUGUCCUGAUUACCCAGUUGGAGAAGACAAAGAAAGUCUUGAGAAAACGCGUGAAGAACUGCUUUUGGAGGUCAAAAAGAGGAACAACCAUCAAAUGGUUAAGCAGAAAAUGGAGAAAACCUUUGCACUUCGGCGGUAUGAGGUUGUUCAAGAUAUGCCACUCAUCGCAGAAUUAAAAAGUCGAUGGCCAGCUCUUUUUACGAAAAACGAGGCAAGACUUAUAUUUGCGGCAAAUGAAUAAAGUGUAAUUGAUUCUUGUGUGUAAAUCUUAUACUUUUUUUUGUCUUUGUUCAAAAACAUUCCCAGGUUUGCGCAGAGUUCACGCGCAUUACCACCAUUCCGCUCAUCCCAAAGUUUAUGUCGCAGCUGGACCAGUACUCAGACCAGUUGGCAAGAGUGCUUUGCAAGAAAGGUGGAGAAGUUGGACGAAAAAUUAAAAACAUCAUGGCUGCGAUUCACCAGAAGGAUUCUGUUGACACAAGAAGAGCUUGCAACCUCCAGGCAGUAGCCCUGUACCUAAACGAGGUCCCUGAAGAGCUAGUGAAGGAAUAUGACAGUGAAGAUUUUGAAGAGACCCAGAGAAAGUUGGAUCAGACUCUCAUCGGUAUCUAUGUGAUUAAACAUCCAGGUUCAUCUACUGAUCAGGCUCCAGAAGACGUUGGCAUCAUAGUUGAAGGUGUACAGGUACUUACUGGACUCAAUGAUGUUGCCACUGCUUUUGCCUUAUUGUUUGGCAUCAUCUACGACCUGAACCUGAGCUACCCCACUGAUCUCAGAUACACUUUUGAAUUAAUUCAAAAGAUUCUGAUGGAACUUGACACACACAGGCUUUCGAACAAAAUCCAAGUGCUCAAAAACAAAAUGCUGGAAUGAAUGCAUUAAGCCAUUACAGUAUUGUGCUAUUCAAGUCCUGAAAUGUUGUAGUUAAUGUGUUUUAUUGGCCUGAUUUAAGUGCCUGUUAAAAGUUUUAAACUUUGUUCUUACACCUAAAAUGUAUAUGUUUAAAGUGGUGUCUAACUACUGAGAUAGGACCAGAAUGCUGCUUUUGGUUGUUUCCCAGAGUACUC